rnacentral:rRNA from 1 species
UUGACUAGGCCCACGCGCAAGCGCAUGGCUGUAUGUUGAUGUAAUUCGAGAGUCACGCGAUACACCUUCGUAUUCUUGACGUGUCUGGCAUGCAGUAAGAGAUGUGCAUAGUUCUGGCAAGAGAGUCAGGUACACAGGUGCUGCAUCGCUGUCGUCAGCUCGUGUCGCUGAGAGUGUUGAGCAACACCACGCAACGAGCGCCACCCUUGUCAUUAGUUGCUCCGACGUGGGCACUCUAAUGAGACUUCCGCUGACAAUCCCCACGGAGGUGGGGAUGACGCCAAGUCCUCAUCACCCUGAGGGGUAGGGCUUCCCACGUCACUCAAUGGUAGGAACAGAGGGACACCAAACCACGCGGGGGAGCCAAUUCCACAAAUCCCAUUUUAGUUCGGCUAGCACUCUGCAACUCGAGUGCAUGAAGUUGGAAUGGCUGGUAAUCGCGGAUCAGCAUGUUACGGAGUAUACGUUUAUGGUUUUUGUUCACAACGCUCGUCAUACCGUG